rnacentral:rRNA from 1 species
UACGUAGGGGGCAAGCGUUGUCCAGAAUCAUUGGGCGUAAAGCGCGUGUAGGCGGCUCGGUAAGUCCGCUCUGAAAGUCCGGGGCUCAACCCCGGGAGGCGGGUGGAUACUGUCGAGCUCGAGUCCGGAAGAGGCGAGUGGAAUUCCUGGUGUAGCGGUGAAAUGCGCAGAUAUCAGGAGGAACACCGAUGGCGAAGGCAGCUCGCUGGGACGUGACUGACGCUGAGACGCGAAAGCGUGGGGAGCGAACAGG